rnacentral:rRNA from 1 species
AGACGGGUGAGUAACACGUGGGCAACCUACCCUUGAACGGGGAACAACCUCGAGAAAUCGGGGCUAAUACCGCAUGAUAUUCCGUUUCAUAAGGAACGGGAUUAAAGGUCUUGUAAGAGACUGUUUGAGGAUGGGCCCGCGACCUAUUAGCUUGUUGGUAGGGUAACGGCCUACCAAGGCGACGAUGGGUAGCCGGCCUGAGAGGGUGAACGGCCACACUGGGAUUGAGAUACGGCCCAGACUCCUACGGGAGGCAGCAGUGGGGAAUUUUGGACAAUGGGGGAAACCCUGAUCCAGCGACGCCGCGUGAGGGAUGAAGGCCUUCGGGUUGUAAACCUCUGUCAGAGAGGACGAAUUAGCUCCGAUUCUGUCGGAGCAGGACGGUACUCUCAGAGGAAGCCACGGCUAACUCCGUGCCAGCAGCCGCGGUAAUACGGAGGUGGCGAGCGUUAUCCGGAUUCAUUGGGCGUAAAGGGCGCGUAGGUGUCUCCAUAAGUCGGAUGUGAAAUCCUUCUGCUCAACAGAAGAAUGGCAUUCGAAACUGUGGAGAUUGAGUACAGAAGAGGAGAGUGGAAUUCCUGGUGUAGCGGUGAAAUGCGUAGAUAUCAGGAGGAACACCGGUGGCGAAGGCGACUCUCUGGUCUGAUACUGACACUGAGGCGCGAAAGCUAGGGGAGCAAACAGGAUUAGAUACCCUGGUAGUCCUAGCCAUAAACGAUGCUCACUAGGUGUGGGAGGUAUCAAUUCCUUCUGUGCCGCAGCUAACGCAUUAAGUGAGCCGCCUGGGGAGUACGACCGCAAGGUUGAAACUCAAAGGAAUUGACGGGGGCCCGCACAAGCGGUGGAGCAUGUGGUUCAAUUCGACGCUACACGAGAAACCUUACCGGGAUUUGACAUGUACUUGCAAUCCGUCUGAAAGGACGGACCUCCUUCGGGACAAGUACACAGGUGGUGCAUGG